rnacentral:pre_miRNA from 1 species
UACUUGGAGAGAGGUGGUCCGUGGCGCGUUCGCUUUAUUUAUGGCGCACAUUACACGGUCGACCUCUUUGCAGUAUCU